rnacentral:ncRNA from 1 species
GUUCAUUUGAUCGUACAGUUUACUUGGAUAACUGUGGUAAUUCUAGAGCUAAUACAUGCGAGAAGCGCCGACCUCGCGGGAGGCGUGCAUUUAUCAGACCAAAAACCGGCCGCGUCUUCGGGCGCGUUCGCCUUGGUGACUCUGGAUAACUUUGCGGAUCGCACGGUCUAGCACCGGCGACGGAUCAUUCAAGUGUCUGCCCUAUCAACUUUCGUCGGUACGGUAUUUGCCUACCGAGGUUCUUACGGGUGACGGGGAAUCAGGGUUCGAUUCCGGAGAGGGAGCCUGAGAAACGGCUACCACAUCCAAGGAAGGCAGCAGGCGCGCAAAUUACCCAUUCCCGACGCGGGGAGGUAGUGACGAAAAAUAACAAUGCAGGACUCGUUCGAGGCCCUGUAAUUGGAAUGAGUACACUUUAAAAGCUUUAACGAGUAUCCAUUGGAGGGCAAGUCUGGUGCCAGCAGCCGCGGUAAUUCCAGCUCCAAAAGUAUAUAUUUAAGUUGUUGCGGUUAAAAAGCUCGUAGUUGGAUUUUGGGCGCAGGCGGCCGGUCCGUCGCAAGGCGUGUACUGGACGUCCUGGCCUUCCCUCCGGUUCUCCGCCGGUGCUCUUGACUGAGUGUCGGCGGCGGCCGGAACGUUUACUUUGAAAAAAUAGAGUGUUCAAAGCAGGCUCUCGAGCCUGGAUCAUGGUGCAUGGAAUAAUGGAAUAGGU